rnacentral:tRNA from 1 species
GGGGGUGUAGCUUAGUGGUAGAGCAGUUGCCUCACAUGCAUGCAUGAGGCCCUGGGUUUAAUCCCCAGCACUGCAA